CCUACGGGCGGCUGCAGUGAGGAAUAUUGGUCAAUGGACGAGAGUCUGAACCAGCCAAGUAGCGUGAAGGAUGACUGCCCUAUGGGUUGUAAACUUCUUUUAUAUGGGAAUAAAACGUUCCACGUGUGGGAUUUUGUAUGUACCAUAUGAAUAAGGAUCGGCUAACUCCGUGCCAGCAGCCGCGGUAAUACGGAGGAUCCGAGCGUUAUCCGGAUUUAUUGGGUUUAAAGGGAGCGUAGGUGGAUUGUUAAGUCAGUUGUGAAAGUUUGCGGCUAAACCGUAAAAUUGCAGUUGAAACUGGCAGUCUUGAGUACAGUAGAGGUGGGCGGAAUUCGUGGUGUAGCGGUGAAAUGCUUAGAUAUCACGAAGAACUCCGAUUGCGAAGGCAGUUCACUGGACUGCAACUGACACUGAGGCUCGAAAGUGUGGGUAUCAAACAGGAUUAGAUACCCUUGUAGUC
rnacentral:rRNA from 1 species